AGUUUGAUCCUGGCUCAGGAUGAACGCUGGCGGCGUGCUUAACACAUGCAAGUCGAACGGAGUUUACAUGUGAGCGGAGGGUGCUUGCAUCUAACAAUCUUUUGUAAACUUAGUGGCGGACGGGUGAGUAACGCGUGGGUAACCUGCCGUAUGCAGGGGGACAACAGCUGGAAACGGCUGCUAAUACCGCAUAAGCGCACAGUACUGCAUGGUACAGUGUGAAAAGUCCUGGCGGCAUACGAUGGACCCGCGUCUGAUUAGCUAGUUGGUGAGGUAACGGCCCACCAAGGCGACGAUCAGUAGCCGGCCUGAGAGGGUGAACGGCCACAUUGGGACUGAGACACGGCCCAAACUCCUACGGGAGGCAGCAGUGGGGAAUAUUGGACAAUGGGGGAAACCCUGAUCCAGCGACGCCGCGUGAGUGAAGAAGUAUUUCGGUAUGUAAAGCUCUAUCAGCAGGGAAGAAAAUGACGGUACCUGACUAAGAAGCCCCGGCUAACUACGUGCCAGCAGCCGCGGUAAUACGUAGGGGGCAAGCGUUAUCCGGAUUUACUGGGUGUAAAGGGAGCGUAGACGGUUUAGUAAGUCUGAAGUGAAAGCCCGGGGCUCAACUCCGGGACUGCUUUGGAAACUAUUAAACUAGAGUGCAGGAAAGGUAAGUGGAAAUUCUAGUGUAGCGGUGAAAUGCGUAGAUAUUUAGGAAGAACACCAGUGGGCGAAAGCGGCUUUACUGGACUGUAACUUGACGUUAAGGCUUCGAAAGCGUGGGGAGCAAACAGGAUUAAAUACCCUGGUAGUUCCACGCCGUAAACAAUGAUUACUAGGGGGUUGGUGGGUUAUGAACCUCCGGGGCCCCCCCUUAACCCAUAAAGAAUUCCCCCUGGGGAAGUACUUUCGCAAAGAAUGAAACUCAAAGGAAUCGACGGGGACCCGCACAAGCGGUGGAGCAUGUGGUUUAAUUCGAAGCAACGCGAAGAACCUUACCAGGUCUUGACAUCCAACUAACGAAAUAGAGAUAUGUUAGGUGCCCUUCGGGGAAAGUUGAGACAGGUGGUGCAUGGUUGUCGUCAGCUCGUGUCGUGAGAUGUUGGGUUAAGUCCCGCAACGAGCGCAACCCCUGCCGAUAGUUGCUACGCAAGAGCACUCUAUCGGGACCGCUACCGACAAGGUGGAGGAAGGUGGGGACGACGUCAAAUCAUCAUGCCCUUUAUGACCUGGGCUACACACGUACUACAAUGGCCGUUAACAGAGGGAAGCAAUACCGCGAGGUGGAGCAAAUCCCUAAAAACGGUCCCAGUUCAGAUUGCAGGCUGCAACUCGCCUGUAUGAAGUUGGAAUUGCUAGUAAUCGCGGAUCAGCAUGCCGCGGUGAAUACGUUCCCGGGCCUUGUACACACCGCCCGUCA
rnacentral:rRNA from 1 species